GACUAUAGACAGAACAUUCGGCAUACGACUAAAGGAGCGCUAAUUAAUGUCUUUAAAUCAAGCUCAACCAUCAGUCACGGUGCGAGCACACAGAAUCAUUCAAUUGGUCGGAAUCGCUUCGCCGUUGUGAAUUCGUUGACGUUGACCCACGUAACGAUAUAAUGUAAGAGCGAACGUGAAAAUUUCAAUCUUCCGAGCCUAUGCUAUGCUAUCAAAAGACAUACGUACAUCCAACGAUGAAUUCUAACGAUGAAAAAAAACAAAGAACAUGAUGAAGAUGUCUUUAUACAUAUAGGAAAGGAUAGAAGAUUAAAAAUGGAAGAAUGUUAGAACCAUUUUAGCAUAGUAGAAGAGAAACGAUAUUGAUCAAAGAAAGAAGGAAAAAAUCAAAGUCGCUAUUGAGAAAGCGGAAGAAGAAGCGGCGUAUAAUAGAGAAAAAUACGGUAGAAAGUAAGAAAGCGAGGAAGCGAAGCAGCAAGGAUGCAGGGGGAAGGUUAGCUAGUGCAUUGAUACUCCCCUCUCUAAGUACGUAGUCCGAACUCUCCCUCGGGGUUUCGGUGAGGUCGCAUGUGCUCGCGGUUCUCGCGGAUGUCGAAUGUCGAUAUUCGAGUGCGCGGCGCAGGCUGAGCAGUAGCAGUGUCGAGCCACUGCGCCGAGAAUCUAAAAUUAUCGGCCGGUUCGCGAGAGGGGAGGGCCGGCAUAUGCAGAGGUGGAGAAGGCUAGAGAAAGGGUGGCGGGGAGGUUGACAGAACGAUGCAGGAAAAAAGAAAA